rnacentral:rRNA from 1 species
UACGUAGGGAGCGAGCGUUAUCCGGAAUUAUUGGGUGUAAAGGGUGCGUAGACGGGAGAGCAAGUUAGUUGUGAAAUCCCUCGGCUUAACUGAGGAACUGCAACUAAAACUACUUUUCUUGAGUGCAGGAGAGGUAAGUGGAAUUCCUAGUGUAGCGGUGAAAUGCGUAGAUAUUAGGAGGAACACCAGUGGCGAAGGCGACUUACUGGACUGUAACUGACGUUGAGGCACGAAAGUGUGGGGAGCAAACAGG